GCAGCCUCCGUUUUGGGUCCCCGGGAAGCCACAGUCGCCCCCCAGCGCCCCCAGCGGAGCCUCCCCGGGGGAAGGGGCGUGGCGCUGGGGGGGGCAGAGUCACCCCGAGGGCCGUGGGCGGUGCCCGGCUGUCCCGGGAGCGGCCGCCUCCCUUCUCGGCAGAAGCCCUCCCCGCCGGCCGAGCGGGGACGCGGGAGCUGAGGUUGGGCCGCGGGCGGAUGGAGGUCUGGGGGAGGGUCGGCCGGGAGCGCUGGCGCCAGCGGAGCUGGCUGGGAGCCUCCGAGGCUGACAGCUCUUCUGGGGCCGCCCUUGCCCCCGCGGAGUGAUUCAACCCCGGCUCGCUGCCUCUGCCUGGCGGGUCGGUGCACCCCCAGACCGAGGCCUGGGGCGUUCUGCUUCAGCAGACCGAAACCAGAAACGCAGCCCCCGCCACCCAGGCCGAGUGUGCCGAGAAGGAGCCGGCACCCUUUUCAGGGUGUCAGGGGACUGUGUGCCCGGUAGGAGGGGGCGCCUCCUGGAGCCCGAAGGGAGGGCGCAGUAGGGAGCCAAGGGUGGGUGGGAGGCCACCCCUCCACCUCCAGGGGCGGGCGGCUCCUCCAGGCAGGUGACAGCAGCGGGACAGCAGUGCUUUGCCCUCCAGGACCUGUGCACCCUCCUGUCUACCUGGAGACCCUCUUCGCCAUCGUUGCCAGCGUACUCCUGGCCUCAGACUCCCCAGAGGGGACCCCCCCCACACACACCCCUGCAGAGCCUGGCAGAGGGCAGCUGUGGGGGCUGCUGGAGCCGCGGGUGUGAUCUGGAGGGGACACGGGGCCCGGCUGUGUUUCUGGGGCAUAAGUGAGACUUCCUUUUGUUGUAGUCACUGCCCCGUUGAUCCACACACGUCACGAAUCAGUGACAGAGACUCGCUGUGGAAACCGGAGUGCGCUGGCCUGCCUGCUACCCUCCGGUGUUUGUGACUUUUUACCAGCUGUCCUGACGAAGCACAGGGUGGAGCGAGCGCUGGUGUGCUGGGUGGAUUCUCAUCCCCCGAUAGCUGGAAAGUUGCCCCUCAUGACACUGGCCACUGCAUCGACAGCCUCUGUUGCUGGGUGUUUCUUCUAAGCAAUUAAGUAGGAGAUGAUGAAACCUCUCUUCCGUGGGGGGAGGCAGGACCAGCGCCCCGUCUUUAUCAGCCAGUGGCCAUAAAUGUGGACCAUGAACUUUCCCACUUGCUGUCAGCCCGGGCAUCGCAGGUGCGGUCACCCCUGGUUCGUCUCUCCUGCAAGGUGGGGAAAGGAAAGUUAACCUGCCAGUGGGUUAAGCCCUUCCUGACUUUCAUACGGGAGCCGGGCAUUUUGUCCUGGUGACCCAGAGUUGUGGUGUGUGGGCUGGUGCCUCAACAACCCUCCAGUGCACCUGCGCCCCUCUUCAGUGAGUCCCUUUAUCCACUUGGGAUUUGCUCUCCUUUCCGUGAAGGUGCCCCACAAGCAUGUCCACCUGGGUGGUAACCCUUGCUGAGUUUUAAAAGUGUAUCUGUUCAGUCUGUUGAUCCAACAUCAGAUCAGCCUUGUCAGUUUCCUAAAGUUGAACGAACCACGGUUUUGUCUGCACGCUUUAGUUUUAUCACAACAGAACUGAGUGUGUCACCUGCAUCUCACGUGAAAAUCACAAAAUGCCCUCAUCCAUGACCAUUAAAGAUAGGUCACAUUUUUGCAAUGCCAGCAAUUUUGCAUAAACAGACUCUGUUUUCAGGUUUGCUGAGGUGCUGGAUAUUUGGAGGUGAGAGAUUUGAGGCACUCGAUUUUCUGGCAGGAACCAGCACAGGCCACGAGUCUCGGACUUCGUGCGGAGGUCUGCUGGUGUCUUCUGAGUGGGUGGAGCCAGGCGUGCCCACCAGAUGCGGGUAGCGUGUGCUAGGCCAGGACGGCUCCCCAGGCUCAAGUCGGCCUCCUCCUGGGCCGAGGUGGGUUGGCUGCCUGUCCCCAGCUGAGUUGUGGCUGUUCCCCUCACCUGCUCAGAUGAAGGCAGCGCUGUCAGAGGUGACCAGAGCCCGCUCCCUCGACCUUCAGGAUCCCCCGAGAGGGAGGCAACGUGUCAGGACGGUGUAUGUGGAGAGAGGCUUGAGGCUCGGUGCCCGAGCACGGGCAGGAGGACAGUGGCCUCGAUGCCAGAGACCGGAGGGAGGGACGCGACGAUGAGGCUGCAUAAGAAGAGAGCUGACUGUAGCUGAGUGUGUCAGCCACUCACCACCGAGUCCAGUUUCCGCACAGCACGAUCAUCGUGCCCUUGCUCACACACGUGUUAGAUGAGCUUGUGUGAGCUUUAUGGGCUGUAAUUUGUGAGUCUGUUCUGGGUGUGUGAUCCUGGCAGCCGGCUCGGCCUGGCCGCUCGUGACCUGGGGCCUUGUGGGGGUGGGGAGAGGGUGAGGAGGGGUGCACCCUCGACACCACCCUCUGAUGUGGCCUGCAGCCUAUGAAGAGUGAGGUUUGGGGGCCCAGAGUGUGAGUCACCAGCGGUAAAUGCAAACCAUAUGUGAUGCAUUUUCUCUGCUGCAGAAAGGGUUUCUGGUGACUGGCUCAGGCCAGGGCUCUGGAAACAGCAUUGCUUAUUUCACAUAAAAAUCCUAAGAAUGUGGGUGAACCUGUCUGAGAUCUGCGUAAUAAAACACUUAGUUGAAGUCACCGGGUUAGUUCCAGGCCCACUUGCUUAUGACGUGGCUGUUAGCCACGAGCUGGCAUUUACGUUAAAGUGUUGAGAAGAAGCGUGAGGGUUUUGAUGUUUCAGUUUCUUGAAAAUAUAACUGUUUCUACUCAGGACCUGCCUCUCCAAGAGUGUAGCACACUUCAUUUUUUUCUGUUUAGCAUGUAUGAGGGUGAACUUAGCUUGCUACUCACACACUACUCACUCUGUGGAGGAAGUUUGCCUCGCUUUUGUGGUGAGUCUUGCUGUAAUGAUAGCUUAUAUUUACAAAUACCGUCAGCAGUGCAGGGUCUUCAGGCUUGCAGAAAACGGUCAAGUCAUUACUUUGAGAAAUGUACAAACAUCUAUGCUUAAUGAGGUGCUAAAAGACAAAACUCAUCUACAAUCUCCUUCCCCCCAAACUGCCAACACUUCUGAUUAAUUUAAAAUCUGCUCUAAACGACAAAACUCAUCUACAACCUCCUUCCCCCCAAACUGCCAACACUUCUGAUUAAUUUAAAAUCUGCUCUAAAAGACAAAACUCAUCUACAACCUCCUUCCCCACAAACUGCCAACACUCUGGAUUAAUUUAAAAGCUGCUCUCUGGGCAGGUUGCAUCCCAGGGCUCCUCCUUCACACAUGGUGGGGCCCCACCUUCGCUUUACCUCUAGCGUCCCAGCCCUCGUGGUCAUCUGGAACCAGGGUUGGUACACAGGGCCUGCUGGCAUUCCUAUGAUACUCCGUGAUAUUCUGGAGGAAUCCAUCCCUUCCUUGGGGCUCCAUCCCACUGCCCCAGCACCUCCAGCCACCCUGAUUCAGGGACAUCGCAGAGAUUGGUGUUUGACGCUACGGCAGCAGAGGCGCAGACUCUUGAGUGUUGGAGGGUGUCUGGAGGGCCUGGGGGCCAGCACCGCCUGCACUCCCGGGAGCUCGGCCCCGCCCCACCGUGGCUCUGAGUGUCGGAGGGCGUCUGGAGGACCUGGGGGCCAGCACCACCUGCACUCCCGGGAGCUCGGCCCCUCCCCACCGUGGCUCUGAGUGUUGGAGGGCGUCUGGAGGGCCUGGGGGCCAGCACCGCCUGCACUCCCGGGAGCUCGGCCCCUCCCCACCGUGGCUCUGAGUGUUGGAGGGCGUCUGGAGGGCCUGGGGGCCAGCACCACCUGCACUCCCGGGAGCUCUGCCCCUCCCCACCGUGGCUCUGAGUGUGGGAGGGCGUCUGGAGAGCCUGGGGGCCAGCACCGCCUGCACUCCUGGGAGCUCGGCCCUGCCCCACCAUGGCUCUUGGUGCAGGUGCACUGGAAGGA
rnacentral:lncRNA from 1 species